UACGUAGGGGGCAAGCGUUGGCCGGAUUUAUUGGGCGUAAAGAGCGUGUAGGCGGCUAGAUAGGUCCGUUGUGAAAACUCGAGGCUCAACCUCGAGACGUCGAUGGAAACCAUCUGGCUAGAGUCCGGAAGAGGAGAGUGGAAUUCCUGGUGUAGCGGUGAAAUGCGCAGAUAUCAGGAAGAACACCCGUGGCGAAGGCGGCUCUCUGGUACGUGACUGACGCUGAGACGCGAAAGCGUGGGGAGCAAACAGG
rnacentral:rRNA from 1 species